UACGUAGGGGGCAAGCGUUGUCCGGAAUCAUUGGGCGUAAAGAGCGUGUAGGCGGCCUGGUAAGUCCGCUGUGAAAGUCCAGGGCUCAACCCUGGAAUGCCGGUGGAAACUGUCAGACUCGAGUCCGGAAGAGGCGAGUGGAAUUCCUGGUGUAGCGGUGAAAUGCGCAGAUAUCAGGAGGAACACCAAUGGCGAAGGCAGCUCGCUGGGACGGUACUGACGCUGAGACGCGAAAGCGUGGGGAGCAAACAGG
rnacentral:rRNA from 1 species